rnacentral:rRNA from 1 species
AGGAUCAUUAUCGAAUAAACUUGAACAGGCUGUUGCUGGUCCUCUCGGGACAUGUGCACGCUUGUCAUCUUUAUCAUUUCUCCAACUGUGCACGUAUUUUGUAGACCUGGGGGGGGGGAUGGAAUUCGUUCCGAGUGGGGACUGCUGUGCUUCAAAAAAAAGAGGUCGGCUUUCCCCUUUGAAAGGUCUAUGUCAUUUUUUUUCACAACCAAUGUGUCUAGAAUGUUGUAAUGAAUAAAAGUUAUAAAAAACAACUUUCAGCAACGGAUCUCUUGGCUCUCGCAUCGAUGAAGAACGCAGCGAAAUGCGAUAAGUAAUGUGAAUUGCAGAAUUCAGUGAAUCAUCGAAUCUUUGAACGCAUCUUGCGCUCCUUGGUAUUCCGAGGAGCAUGCCUGUUUGAGUGUCAUUUUGAACUCUCAAAGCCCACAUUCUGAUGUGUGGCUUUGGACUUGAGGGCUUUUGCAGGCUUUUCAUCAAAAGCCUGCUCCCUUGAAAAUCAUCAGUGGUAUCUGGAGUGGAAACCGCUAGGUGUUGAUAACAUUCAUCUACGCCUUUGGGUAUGCCGCGUAAAUGUGUGCUGCUUCCAACGGCCCCAUCAUGGCUCUUUGACAAACUUGACCUCAAAUCAGGUAGGACUACC